GACGAACGCUGGCGGCGUGCUUAACACAUGCAAGUCGAGCGGUAAGGCCCUUUCGGGGGUACGACGAGCGGCGAACGGGUGAGUAACACGUGGGUGACCUGCCCUCAGCUCUGGGAUAAACCUAGGGAAACCGGGUCUAAUACCGGAUAUGACUCCAUGACGCACGUUGUGGGGUGGAAAGCCUUGUGCGGCUGAGGAUGGGCCCGCGGCCUAUCAGUUUGUUGGUGGGGUGAUGGCCUACCAAGGCGACGACGGGUAGCCGGCCUGAGAGGGCGACCGGCCACACUGGGACUGAGACACGGCCCAGACUCCUACGGGAGGCAGCAGUGGGGAAUCUUGCGCAAUGGGCGAAAGCCUGACGCAGCGACGCCGCGUGA
rnacentral:rRNA from 1 species